rnacentral:rRNA from 1 species
GACGAACGCUGGCGGCGUGCCUAAUACAUGCAAGUAGAACGCACAGUUUAUACCGUAGCUUGCUACACCAUAGACUGUGAGUUGCGAACGGGUGAGUAACGCGUAGGUAACCUGCCUGGUAGCGGGGAAUAACUAUUGGAAACGAUAGCUAAUACCGCAUAAUAUUGAUUAUUGCAUGAUAAUUGAUUGAAAGAUGCUAUUGCAUCACUACCAGAUGGACCUGCGUUGUAUUAGCUAGUAGGUGAGGUAACGGCUCACCUAGGCGACGAUACAUAGCCGACCUGAGAGGGUGAUCGGCCACACUGGGACUGAGACACGGCCCAGACUCCUACGGGAGGCAGCAGUAGGGAAUCUUCGGCAAUGGACGAAAGUCUGACCGAGCAACGCCGCGUGAGUGAAGAAGGUUUUCGGAUCGUAAAGCUCUGUUGUAAGAGAAGAACAGGUGUGAGAGUGGAAAGUUCACACUGUGACGGUAUCUUACCAGAAAGGGACGGCUAACUACGUG